rnacentral:lncRNA from 7 species
AGACUUCGCAGCCUGGAAGAACUGGUUGGCAGUGCUGGAGAGAUCUCAGUGAGAGAUGGCUGUGGGGAAAAAAAAAAAAAAAGAUAGAGAAAACGCGUGAAAGAAACAGCCACGACAGGCUGAAGAUUGAAGUGAGAUGUCUUUCCAGUGAACUUGGAAUAAGCAAACAGUGCUGAGCUGACAAGUGGUUUAUGAGACCUCUAACACCCCAUCUAUAAAAUCCUUUUGGGGAGAAUGAGCAACGUAGGCUCCUUAUGUCAGGACCUACAGCCUGGAGUGAGUUUUCUGGAAGAACACUUUGACCCGUGUAGAAGGGAGAGAGUAAAAACAACACAACUGCAGCAGUCUCCGCACUUUCCUAGGUACCUCACACAUUGACACGGAUCUCCUGGCAGGGCCUGCACUUUGCCAUCCUCCUGUAAACAGCAUACUAAUUAGUUCAAGCUUUAGAAUGAGCUGAAAAUGAGCUACAGAUGGGUGCUCAGAGCAACAGAAUGCUACUAUUUGUUUAAAGCCUAUUAUGUAUUUUCUCACCCAAAAUGCAAAGCAGAGUAAGAGCUGGCAAGAGACAGCCAAUUUGUUCUGGUUGGUACAAAAACACAUUAAUAAAGCAGUUGUGUGUAUC